rnacentral:rRNA from 1 species
UACGUAGGGGGCAAGCGUUAUCCGGAUUUACUGGGUGUAAAGGGAGCGUAGACGGUUAUGCAAGUCUGAAGUGAAAGCCCAAGGCUCAACCAUGGGACUGCUUUGGAAACUGUAAAACUGGAGUGCAGGAGAGGUAAGCGGAAUUCCUAGUGUAGCGGUGAAAUGCGUAGAUAUUAGGAGGAACACCAGUGGCGAAGGCGGCUUACUGGACUGUAACUGACGUUGAGGCUCGAAAGUGUGGGUAUCAAACAGGGA